rnacentral:lncRNA from 1 species
GGACUAAUUUCAUCAGUUUAUCUUUUAAUCAAAAUAUACAUUGGAAAAUCAAAAUAUUUCUUCAUAGUGUUAUUUAGAGUAAUUCAGUAAUCAGAUGAUAAUCAGAAGAGUUAACAUGUGUGGACAAAAUAAAGCAAAGGAAAGGAAGGAAACAAAAUGCAACAGCAACAUUUCAAGAUUGAAACACAAGAAAGAAUUCAGUUAUCAAAGCAAACAUGAAGUGAAAUAAUGAAAGCAGACAUCUUUAAAAAUCAGUACAUUUAGAUUCUGAAGAAAUGGAAGACACUUAGAGAUGCUGAUGUAAUCAAAUCUAUCUUUGGGGCUACUUGAAUUUUCUCUUUAUUCCAAGCUGAGCCAUCCUUAAAUAUAAAUGAGUAAAAGAAUAUAAAAGUAAAUCUGGAUAAUCUGAAAACAUAAUACCCGUUAAAAUUAAUUCAUUAAAUAAAAAUAGUACUCACAAAAUUAGGAACA